GCUUACGGCCAUACCAGCCUGGGUACGCCCGAUCUCGUUUGAUCUCGGAAGCUAAGCAGGGGCGGGCCAGGUUAGUACUUGGAUGGGAGACCGCCUGGGAAUACCAGGUGCUGUAAGCA
rnacentral:rRNA from 1 species